UAGACGAAGUGUGCGACAUAGAGACAGACAGGUAUCGAUGGAUUCAUUGAAUGGGGGUGAGCGAAAUUAAAGAAGUAAAUUAAAAUGAACGAAAGAACUAGGUUCCUUCAAAAUCGGCCCUGUAUGAAGCAAAAUGUGACUAGGAUUAUUUUUUCUCUGGUUAAUACCCUAUAAGGGUUGUAGUUCAGCACCUAAGACAUAUUUAUAGACCUCAUAGAAUUUAAGAAUAAAAUAAAAACAUUUUUAAGUAGUCAAUGUUUUUAUAGCUAUGAAGAAUGUUUAACUUUUGAUUUUACCUGUGAUACUUCUAAAUAUUUCUUUAGAUAAGUGACUGUGACAUUUUUGACGAUGUGUAAGUAGGUACUCCAUGUAUGUUAGCCUGAAUAGGUAUAUGUAUUAUUAUUA